GCCCUCCCCACCCCCACGAGGGCCGCGGCCGUGGGGCGCUGGUAGCUCUCCCGCCCCUCCGCCCAGCACCCUUCCCGCCCUGGGGCUCCUUCCUUGACUGCGGCUGCAGCCUUCUCUUCCCGGGGGGCUCAGAGUUCAUCCCCCUUUUCGCCGUUGGGAACGUGGACACGCUGGAGCCUGGGUGCAGAAGGGCGCGGAAGUAUGGAGCGGGUGCGCGAGCCGCUGCCCAGCGUCCAGGCCGCACCACUCUCCGCUGAUCCAAAGGACGACUGGAACCCUGCGCGCCGACGACGGCUUGGGAGUUGGCGCGGGCCUUGGCACUAGAAAACGGAUCCCGCUCCCAGAAAGGCGGGCCGGGUAUCCCGCUCCUGCCUCCUGGAGAAUUAGCUCGGCGGAGUGUGUGGCCGGGAAGGGAGGGAGGGAAAGGCCUUGGGUCGACCAGCCGGUUAGGGAGUAGCUUCUGGGGGACUCCCUUGCCUACCGAGCGCGGGCGAGCUGCCUUCUGAGCGCCGCCAGUUAGCUGCAGCGGAGCCAGAAGUGUCCCCACUGGCUUACCCCACAGUGGGAUUUUACACGGUGUCGACCAAGGGAGGCUUUGUGAGAAGACCAUUUCAGAAGAGGAAACGGGCCUCUGGCUGGUGGGGUAGGAACCCCUGUGGAAUGAAAAGAUUCCCAGUCUCUGCGGAAGAUUGCAAAGAGUCCCGGGCAUAUUCGCUGCGCGCGUCUGUCUGCCCGCGCGGCGCUUGGCGGGCACCCGCUUCCACCAAAAGCCUGCGUUUCGCUUCUCCCAAACUAAAACUCAUCAAGCCAUAAAGCUUCCGGUGGAGAAGGCGCCGCGGAUUUAUGGCCCCCGAAUUCCCCACUCUCUAAUUAUCCUUGUUUUUACUUGACUUAUGGGUAGUGACCAAUAAAAUCAUUUUCCAUUUUG